UAUUUUCUUUGCUUCGUAGAGCUACGGAUAUCCAUAUUUUUUUGUUCGAAUCAAGAAGGAUAACAAGCGAUGAUUCUAAUUCUCUUGGAAGUUGGAGUAUUUUUUGUUGUUGUUUCCUUUCACUAUCGAUCAAAUUAUAAUGAAAUGAUUUAUCUUAAUAAUUUUUUUUUUCAAUUAUUUUCUAAAUUUGAUUUGAUUUUUCAUGCAUUUAUAAGUUCUAAUAUGAAACCAUUGGUUCGACAUCAGAAAUGUCUAAAAUUUAUAUAACAUGAAACCAAAAAAAUAAUAAUUAUUUUUGGUUAUCAUCAAAAAACCAAAAACCUCAAGUAUUUUAACCGAAUAAACAAAAUACAUAUUGAUUUAGAAUGGUAGUUAUAUUUUAGUAGAUUACGAUAACAGUAGAACAUGUUUUUAAUUUUAAAAUAACACACAGACAUAAAAUAACAAUCCAAUCAAAGAUAGAAAAAUACAUAUAUCCCUAAUAGUAAAUAGGUUAGAAAUAUAUUACUCACUAAAGAUAUUUUUACUAC
rnacentral:lncRNA from 1 species